AUUUAAAUAGUUUAAUAAAAAUUUUAAUUUGUGGAAUUAAAGAUAUAAUUUAUUUUAUUUUAAAUA
rnacentral:tRNA from 1 species